GACGAACGCUGGCGGCGUGCCUAAUACAUGCAAGUUGAGCGCUGAAGGUUGGUACUUGUACCGACUGGAUGAGCAGCGAACGGGUGAGUAACGCGUGGGGAAUCUGCCUUUGAGCGGGGGACAACAUUUGGAAACGAAUGCUAAUACCGCAUAACAACUUUAAACACAAGUUUUAAGUUUGAAAGAUGCAAUUGCAUCACUCAAAGAUGAUCCCGCGUUGUAUUAGCUAGUUGGUGAGGUAAAGGCUCACCAAGGCGAUGAUACAUAGCCGACCUGGGGGGGUGAUCGGCCACGUUGGGACUGAGACACGGCCAAAACUCCUACGGGGGGUAGCGGUAGGGAAUCUUCGGCAAUGGCCGAGAGUCUGACCGAGCAACGCCGCGUGAGUGAAGAAGGUUUUCGGAUCGUAAAACUCUGUUGGUAGAGAAGAACGUUGGUGAGAGUGGAAAGCUCAUCAAGUGACGGUAACUACCCAGAAAGGGACGGCUAACUACGUGCCAGCCGCCGCGGUAA
rnacentral:rRNA from 1 species